UAUAACCACAGGUUAUCUAACACUGUCUAACAAUUAGAGAUGAUUAAAGCAAUUAAGCGUAUGUUAAGUACGUCAUCCUGAUUGGGGCCUCCUAUUUAUUAUGGGAGGUUUUUUUGAUAAU
rnacentral:sRNA from 14 species